UGGAGGUGAAUUUUAAGGGUGGCCCCUAACAUUUCCACUCCACACUCCAGCCGCUGGUAUCAGAAGGUUUCUGAGCCAGGCUUCCUCCCUGCUUCUAGGAAGCCUCGAGGGUCUAUCCUGAGCAGAGGAGCAAGGCUCACACUCAGCACUGAAGAGUCACAGCUCUGAGUGUGAGGAGCGCUGGCAAGAAGAUGGUUACCACUUAAAGUGCUUUCUAUCCAAAUGCCGUCCGGUGUCAAUGAAUGAAAACUGAGUGAGUCCCCCCAGGCUGAAGAAAUAGUCAGUGAGAUGAAUACAUCCUGAUUUAUAUUCUCUAUUUUCCAAAUUUCUCGAUUAAAAUGACCCAUCCAACACACUUCUUCUCAGGAAAAAAAAGAUAACUAUUUAAUUCGCUCGAAUGUGUACAAAAAUAGUUUUCAUCUUCCCAGGAAACUGUCUGGUUGCAAUUAGCUUGGAAUAUUGUGAGUUUGUUCCCCAUGGGUCAUAUCCAGAGCCACUUUUAGGAGUCAGUUUAAAACUCAAUUAUGUUCAAAUUAUAAAUUUGUAAAUUGUGUGUUUCUUCUUAGCAUAUGAUUUGAGCAUUUAGUAGAGAUGCUUUUAUUGUGCACAAAUACGGGGCCUUCUUGGACUCCAUGGGCUCUUACAUCGGGCCCCUCUAUGGCACCUCCCUAGGCUAACAUAAGCAGCUCAGAAGAAAAACCCAUGCUGGCUGAAUUCUUGAGGACUUUUGAGUGACAUGAAACUUUCCCAUGAUCCUCAGUAUACUAUGUCUCCCAACACCAAACACCCGAGUUUGCUUUUCUUUAAUGUCCCUUGAUCUACCUUUAAUCACUUUCUACACAGGUCCCAUUUUUCUCUUCGUGCCCCCAAAGCUUCUCUGUCAUUGCUCUAAAGAUAAAGUCCCCAACAUAAGGGAGCCCCAGCACUCCAUUCUCUCAAAGGACUCAUUCGCUACUUCUCUGCCUCAGAUCUGGGACAGGAGGAAGGUUUGAGACUAAUAAGGUAGACAGACAUUGACACCUCCCAGCAUGGAGUCACUGCAGCUCCUACUGAGGGUCAAGGAUGAUGACCCUGACAUCUCUGAAGGCCUCAGAGAAUGUGUGGUAGCAUGCUCAGUGGAGGCGCUGUCAGUGCGGGAAGUUGCCCAUUCUCUUCCUUCCUCAGCAAUAGCUUCUUUCCCAGAUAAAGUACUCACUGUCAGAGCUGAACUGCAUCAGUGGGGCCAUCAGUCAAGUCAUUGCCCAUGGGCCAACAGACAGACAGACAGACAGACAGACAGAGAACCCUUUUAUCCUAUCCUUUCUCAUUUAUUGAAUUCAUAAAAUUUAAAAUAAAAGCCUAUUAAGGAAAUUAAGUGUUUUACACACACACACCUCUCCCACACACCAAAGUAUUGCAAGUUAGUCAGGGAGAACGAGUUAGCACUUCAACUGCAGAAAGUUCAGUUUUUGUGGAGUCUGUGUUAUAGCUCCUCAGGGCAGCUGAGAGAAGAUCUAUGUAGUAAGAUUAGGAAAGCUAGCUGGUGGACUAGCUAGAAGAAUAGCAUUUCCAUUUCCCAACAAUGAUUAACCAGUAGCUCUUGUCACCCUCAGGUUGACCCCCCCCU
rnacentral:lncRNA from 1 species